CUUUUCUCACAGUUACUACUAUCUUUGUGAGCUUCCUACCUCUAUUUUCCCCCUUGAUCUACUGAUGUAGCAUCAUCAAGAUUCACAUAAAAAACGCAUGGUGAUGAGCUGAUGAAAUGACAUUAAUGGCCAAGGCAGCUUUCUGAAGGUGAGAAUCUUGAUGAUGCUGCAUCAGCAAUAAACGACUACCUGAUUUAUCAUUAUGCCAUUGGAACGAUACACAGAUAAUUAGCAUAAUUCAUGUGCAAGAAUGCCACGGGUACAUGGUAUGGUUCAAUUGAUACAGUCGUUGUUUGCGGGUGUAGCAUCAUCAAGAUUCACAUGAAAAGGCAAGGUGAAAUGAAAUUAAUUAAGAGCCAUGGCUUUUUGAAGGUGAGAAUCUUGAUGAUGCUGCAUCAGCAAUAAACGACUAACUAAAUAAUCGCUUCAAUCCAUUGGAACGAUACCGAGAAGAUUAAUAUGAACUCUGCGACUUGUAAGUACAGUUGUCAGUUCUUUAUUCGGAAAACAAGAUGAGGAGUUCCCCUAUUUUCCUAUGAAUUAUUCUUUUGAUUUUACUUUUCCAGUUUUUCUUGUGAUUAGGUGGGGAUAUUUUAGUUAUUUGGUUGGUAUUUAAUCUAUCUGUUUUAUCUUACAGGUGAAUUACAAUUCUGUUAAAUUUAUUCCAGUCUUUUUGUAUAUAUUGAGAAAUAACUGUUUGAAGAGGGAUUGAAAUGAGCUUGCUGAUGCAUGAUGAGUGCAUAGAUUUGCAGGUGACGGAAGUUGUGAUGGUAAUUAAUGGUGUCUCUAUCAAAUAGAUGAGAACUUCUCUGCAACUCUCUCUUUCUAUGAUACAUUUAAACUGAAUGGAGCACACGAGUUUUCCGUUUCCAACUUUCUUUGUCUUUAAUUUAGGGGAAGAAAAGAAACAAAUAUAAUUGAUGCAUAUAUGUAGGACUAAUCGAUCUCCUACAUGGGACUCUUUGGGUUUUUUUUGUUUGUUUUUUUGUUUUUAAAGACUUUGAGGAGUCAAUGAAAGAUUAUACGUCUUAGAUCCCGCGCAUUGAUGAAAGAAACAUCAAUCAUAUUCUAAA